AGAGAAAAUUAUAGGAGAGAGAAUUUAUGAAGUACAAUCCAAAUUGAUCAGGUAUCACAGUCCAACAUCUCAAUUGGUGAAAUCAAAAUGAUCUAAUCAAGUCAUGGUUAAAUCAGGAUUCAGAUGAGUAAAAUAAUGGAUGAUCAAAUAUAAUGGUUCAUGGUUUGAUCAAGGUGCUGGCAUAUUACCUGACAACCACGGAUCAUAAUGCUUCCACUAGAAUCAUUCAAACUCAUCAUCAUUCUUCUCAAAAGUCUAAAAA
rnacentral:lncRNA from 1 species